CCGCCUAUAACUAAUCUAAGUGCUGGGUUCUUACUCCAGUAAUGUGUUGUGGCUGCACUAGGCGGU
rnacentral:tRNA from 1 species